rnacentral:rRNA from 1 species
AUUGAACGCUGGCGGCAGGCUUAACACAUGCAAGUCGAGCGGGGGAAGGUAGCUUGCUACCGGACCUAGCGGCGGACGGGUGAGUAAUGCUUAGGAAUCUGCCUAUUAGUGGGGGACAACAUCUCGAAAGGGAUGCUAAUACCGCAUACGUCCUACGGGAGAAAGCAGGGGAUCUUCGGACCUUGCGCUAAUAGAUGAGCCUAAGUCGGAUUAGCUAGUUGGUGGGGUAAAGGCCUACCAAGGCGACGAUCUGUAGCGGGUCUGAGAGGGUGAUACGCAAAACUGGGACUGGGACACGGCCCCGACUCCUACGGGAGGCAGCAGUGGGGAUUAUUGGACAAUGGGGGGGACCCUGAUCUAGCCAUGCCGCAUGUGUAAAGAAGGCCUUAUGGUUGUAAAGCACUUUAAGCGAGGAGGAGGCUACUUUAGUAAAUACCUGGAGAUAGUGGACGUUACUCGCAGAAUAAGCACCGGCUAACUCUGUGCCAGCAGCCGCCGUAA